rnacentral:rRNA from 1 species
AAUACCGAAUGCCCUCUUCUGAUCGCAUGGUCGGAUGAGGAAAGAUUCAUCGCUCCGGGAGAGUCUCGCGGCCUAUCAGCUAGUUGGUGGGGUAACGGCCCACCAAGGCAUCGACGGGUAGCUGGUCUGAGAGGACGAUCAGCCACACUGGGACUGAGACACGGCCCAGACUCCUACGGGAGGCAGCAGUGGGGAAUCUUGCGCAAUGGGCGAAAGCCUGACGCAGCAACGCCGCGUGCGGGAUGAAGGCCUUCGGGUUGUAAACCGCUUUCAGCAGGGAAGAAAUUGACGGUACCUGCAGAAGAAGCCCCGGCCAACUACGUGCCAGCAGCCGCGGUAACACGUAGGGGGCGAGCGUUGUCCGGAUUUAUUGGGCGUAAAGAGCUCGUAGGCGGUUCACUAAGUCGGGUGUGAAACCUUCAGGCUCAACCUGGAGACGCCACCUGAUACUGGUGUGACUAGAGUCCGGUAGGGGAGUGUGGAACUCCUGGUGUA